CCUACGGUGGGCAGCAGUGAGGAAUAUUGGUCAAUGGGCUUACGCCUGAACCAGCCAAGUCGCGUGAGGGAAGACUGCCCUAUGGGUUGUAAACCUCUUUUGUCAGGGAGCAACGCCGGCUACGUGUAGCCGGACUGAGAGUACCUGUAGAAAAAGCAUCGGCUAAUCCCGUGCCAGCAGCCGCGGUAAUACGGAGGAUGCGAGUGUUAUCCGGAUUUAUUGGGUUUAACGGGUGCGUAGGCGGAAUGCCAAGUCAGCGGUAAAGUUGCGGGUCUCAACCUCGCUCUGCCGUUGAAACUGGCGUUCUUGAGGGGGCGAGAAGUAUGCGGAAUGCGUGGUGUAGCGGUGAAAUGCAUAGAUAUCACGCAGAACUCCGAUGGCGAAGGCAGCAUACCGGCGCCCAACUGACGCUGAAGCACGAAAGCGUGGGUAUCGAACAGGAUUAGAUACCCGGUAGUC
rnacentral:rRNA from 1 species